rnacentral:rRNA from 1 species
UACGUAUGGUGCAAGCGUUAUCCGGAUUUACUGGGUGUAAAGGGAGCGCAGGCGGCGCGUUAAGCCUGGUGUGAAAGCCCGCGGCCCAACCGCGGGACUGCAUUGGGAACUGGCGCGCUGGAGUGCCGGAGGGGUAGGCGGAAUUCCUAGUGUAGCGGUGAAAUGCAUAGAUAUCACGCAGAACUCCGAUUGCGAAGGCAGCAUACCGGCGCCCUACUGACGCUGAGGCACGAAAGCGUGGGUAUCGAACAGG